rnacentral:lncRNA from 13 species
CGCGGAGUCGUCCUCUGGUUCCACAAGAGGGUUUGACCCGGGUCGUGGCCCCCUCCUGCGGUGUCUGCGACCCGGCGCGCUGCUGCCUGGCUCUGGGGUGGGGCCGGGCCCCCGGGGAAGCCGCCUUGUAGGCGGGGCUGGACGGCUCAGGGCCCGGGAGCACGUCUGGUCCGCGCAGGGCCGUGUGCGGAGGCGUCCUGCGCUGCCCUGACCUGGGGCUGGGAGGACUGGGCGACGGCGGGAAUGACGGCGCCCCCAGGCUCCAGGAGGGCCCGGAGGGGUAGGGGCCGCCGACGCCGCGCGGACUCGGGCGACAGGGAGCCGAAGUGGGAGACGGCCCCGGAGAGCGAGCAGGCCCUGCAGCCGCCCCAGGGCCCCCCAGUGAAGGAAGGGCACCUGCGAUAUUGUCACUGCGCCUCGUCCGUACAAGCUGAUUGGGACAAAUAA